rnacentral:rRNA from 1 species
CUUUACUGUAACCUGGUAUUGGGUUCGGGCUUUGACUGCGCAGGAUAGGUGGGAGGCUUUGAUCCAUUGCUUGUGGGUGAUGGUGAGCCAACGGUGAGAUACCACUCUUUCAGAGCUAGGGUUCUAACGGUCACCCGUUAUCCGGGGAAGGAACCGUAUCAGGCGGGCAGUUUGACUGGGGCGGUCGCCUCCUAAAUGGUAACGGAGGCGCGCAAAGGUGUUCUCAGGCUGGUUGGAAAUCAGCCGCAGAGUGUAAAGGCAGAAGAACGCUUGACUGUGAGAGUGACAACUCGAGCAGGGUGGAAACACGGCCUUAGUGAUCCGACGGCUUGUGCGUGGAAAUGCCGUCGCUCAACGGAUAAAAGUUA